ACUGGAGUGGGUUGCCAUGCCCUCCUCCAGCAGAUCUUCCCAACCCAGGGGUCGAACCUCCGUCUCCUCCGUCUCCUGCAUCUCCUGAAUUGCAGCUGGAUCGUUACCCCUGAGCCACCGGGGAAGCUCAAUGACUGGUAGAGAUAAAACUAAAGCCCAGGUCUCCCCACGUCCUCUGUGGCUUCUCCCCGCAUUAAGUCAGACACACUGUCCUGAAAUGAUAAAGAGAACGCAGGCAGACAUCCCGUAAUGGUAACACUGGUUCUUGACAUUUCCGUUGAGAGGGUUUUUCUAAGCUUUCUCCUAGCACGGUGCUUUGAAGCAGUGGUGCUUGUCGUCAGAGUGUUGACGGUCUCACUGUGAAGACGAGGAGGGUGAGGCUUCAUUUAUGGGUCUGCCCAGCAUCACACCAGUGGGUGCAGGGCGCCCAGAGUCUGAACCUAGGCCCACCACCCACAUGAGUGUUUCAGACCCAGAGUGGGGCCGGGUGCACACGGAUGACCAAGGUGCUACAGGAGCCACAUGGAUGCACCAGACAAGCCCUGCCCUCUGUGUUGCACACCCACCCAGCCUCCCACACUCCUUCCCAUCACGCUGUAUCCACACCACACAUGCCUGGCUCAAAACUGCCACCAAGACUCUCCCAGCCUCGGUCAAAGUCUGCCAACAUUUUACCUUGGAGUAAGGUAUUCAAUCUCUCCGUGCCUUGCUUUUCCCAACCUAUGAUCCAGCAAUCCCACUCCCAGGCAUAUAUCCAGAAAAAAAAACAAAAUGUAAUUUGAAAGAUGCGUGCACCCCAAUAUUCGUAGCAGCACCGUUUACACUAGCCAAAGCAUGGAAGCUCCCCAAGUGUGCUUUGGCAGAUGAACGGGAGACGAAGACGUGGUCCAUGUGUAUCGAUACGAUGAAAUGUGACUCAGCCAUCAAAAAUGGAAAAUGCCGUACGUAGCAACACGGGUGGACGUGGAGGUUACGGAACUAAGUGAAGCCAGAAAGAGGCAAACAUGACGCCGCUUAUGUGGGGAAUCUAAACACUGAUACAAAUGAACUUAUGAAACAGAAACAGACUCCCAGACUCUGCAAACAAAGGUAGGGUUGCCACAGGGGAAAGGUCGGUGGGGGAAGGGAUACAUCUGGGGAUUGAGACAGCACACACACUCUACUACACAGGAAACAGAGAACCAACAAGGACCCCCGGCAGCACACGGGACUCUGCUCAGUGACCUGUAACGACCGAAAAGUGAAAAGAGUCUGAGCAAGGAUAUGGGGCGUGUAUGACCGGACCAGUUUACUGUCACCUGGAACCAACAUAAGACUGUGAAUCAACUGCACUUCAGUA
rnacentral:lncRNA from 1 species